UACGGAGGAUGCAAGCGUUAUCCGGAAUUAUUGGGCGUAAAGCGUCCGCAGGUGGCACUUCAAGUCUGUCGUCAAAGACCGGGGCUUAACCCUGGAAAGGCGAUGGAAACUGAAAGACUAGAGAGAGGUAGGGGUAGAGGGAAUUCCCAGUGUAGCGGUGAAAUGCGUAGAGAUUGGGAAGAACAUCGGUGGCGAAGGCGGGUCUCUGGGCCGAUACUGACGCUGAGGAGCGAAAGCGUGGGGAGCGAACAGG
rnacentral:rRNA from 1 species